ACUCCUACGGAAGGCUGCAGUGGGGAAUCUUCCGCAAUGGACGAAAGUCUGACGGAGCAACGCCGCGUGUACGACGAAGGCCUUCGGGUUGUAAAGUACUGUCUUCAGGGACGAACGGUAAGUAUGUAAAGAAUGUACUUACAUGACGGUACCUGAGGAGGAAGCCCCGGCUAACUACGUGCCAGCAGCCGCGGUAAUACGUAGGGGGCAAGCGUUGUCCGGAAUCAUUGGGCGUAAAGGGCGCGUAGGCGGAUACUUAAGUCUGGUGUGAAAACCUGG
rnacentral:rRNA from 1 species